GACGAACGCUGGCGGCGUGCUUAACACAUGCAAGUCGAACGGGAACCUUUAUUUCGGUAAAGGUGAGAGUGGCAAACGGGUGAGUAACACGUAGGCAACCUGCCGACAGGAUAGGGACAACAUUCCGAAAGGAAUGCUAAUACCGAAUGGAGUCCGGGGAUGGCAUCAUCCUCGGAUCAAAGAUGGCCUCUUAACAAUGCUAUCGCCUGUCGAUGGGCCUGCGUCUGAUUAGCCAGUUGGCGGGGUAACGGCCCACCAAAGCGACGAUCAGUAGCCGGUCUGAGAGGAUGAACGGCCACAUUGGGACUGAGACACGGCCCAGACUCCUACGGGAGGCAGCAGUGGGGAAUCUUCCACAAUGGGCGAAGGCCUGAUGGAGCAACGCCGCGUGAGUGAAGAAGGUCUUCGGAUCGUAAAGCUCUGUUGCACGGGACGAAAACCGAGCUUGAAAAUAUUGAGCUUGG
rnacentral:rRNA from 1 species